GCUGGGUGUGGUGGCUCAUGCCUGUAAUCCCAGCAGCUCAGGAGGCUGAGGCAGGAGGUUAGCAAGAUCAAAGCCAGCCUCAGCAACUUAGUGAGGCCCUAAGCAACUCAGUGAGACCCUGUCUCUA
rnacentral:sRNA from 1 species